GACGAACCGUGCGAACGUUAUUCGGAAUCAUUGGGCUUAAAGGGCGCGUAGGCGGCGGUGUAAGUUGGAAGUGAAAUCCCAUCGGCUCAACCGUGGAAUUGCUCCCAGUACUGCAUCGCUCGAGGGGGAUAGGGGUUUGCGGAACUACCGGUGGAGCGGUGAAAUGUGUUGAUAUCGGUGGGAACGCCAGUGGCGAAAGCGGCAAACUUGACCCAUCCUGACGCUGAGGCGCGAAAGCUAGGGGAGCAAACGGG
rnacentral:rRNA from 1 species